AUCCGCUCAUGGAAAUAAACAUCAUUUAAAAGAAAGAAAUGGAAAAAAAAAUCUUAAAUCUCCACUAAAUUAAAUGUGCAUCUGCAUAGACUGCUUUAAUUGGCAAAAUGAAACCAUAAUAGACAAUUUAGUGGCUUUACCCUGUUUAAUUUCUGUUCCAACUAAUCACAUUGCUCAUUUCCCAUAGAUUCCAAGGGGUCUAUGGAGGUCUUCUACAGUACUGGAAUAGUGGCUUGCAUUUUUGGACACCACAUGAUUAAUAGAGUGUCCUGAAAACCACUCGACAGGUUUGUGUUUUCCCCCACAGUAUGUAUUUACUAAAGUUAAAUUCAAAAUGAAUUGAAAGGGAAUUUUAAAUGUACGGUCAAAACUGUGAAAUUAUCAACGUCAACUCUGCUUUCAGUACUGCUACACUGGCCUUAAAUUUGAAAUGACUGAAUUCUCAUUUUUUACAGUCAUUUACUGAAGUGAGAAUUGUUGUUAAAGUGAAUUUUACGUUUAAGUUGAUCAACUAGAAACAGUUUACAAAUGAAUCUGGCUUCCAGAUGAGCUAAUUUGGUCUGAAAUUGAAAAUGAACUUUAAAUUCAAUUUGAAUUACUGACAAUUCACACUAUAGUAAAUAACUCUGAGUGUGAGUGUGAGUGAAGUAAAAGCAGCCAUUUGGCUACCAACUGACUAUAGCAGUGGUUCCCAAACCAGUCCUCACCCUUACCUUCAGUCCUCGAUUUUGUGUUGGCUCAGUUGCGUCCAAGGUGUUUUCUUUGGUUUUUCUAAAAACACCUUCAACACCACUGGGUAAUCCCUAAAUCCUGGACUGGUAGUAGGGUGAGAGGACUGGCUUGGGGACCACUGGGUUAUAGCAUUGGAUCCAGGCAAUCCCUGCUAUUUUUUUUUUUAUCCUUGAAUCAAUAUAAACUGAGUUGUUUUUUUUCCAAUCCGGUUUACUGUUGAGAUAGUUGAUUAUAUUGCUAAUUCACAACAACACAGUUAAUGAAGUCCUGUGCAUGCCUGUAUUAACCCUUUGAGUGCCACAGUCAUAAUCAAUGUUUUUAUAAGUAUAGAGUUACUGCAUAAUUUGGUGUUUCGUGGUCGAGUAUACUUAUCUUUACGAGGUCUGAUAAUGAUGUUGAAGUUUACGAUAAAAAAAUAAAUAAAAAUCUUCCAAAGUGGACAUGGAACACAGCUCUUUAUCAUAAUCAGUAAUUUAUUUAUACAGUGGCUUACGUGCCUGGAAAGCUAACUAUCAUAAAUAGCUUAUCAUAUUGUUUAGAAAUAAAGAAAUAAUCAAUGCAUACACUAUUAAUGUUGUACUAGAAAGAACACCACAAUCCUAUUUUAUCGAUCUGCAGAAAAUAUUGAUAUGUCUUAUUUUGUCUUUGUUUAGAAAUUUUGCUCCAUUCAAUCAUUUACAGAUGCAACACAAAUUGGCACAUAAUCCAUUAUACAGUUUUGUCUUAUAAAAUGGUUUAUAAAGCAAGCUUGUGAGUUCUGUCCUCUCGUGUCUGUCUCUAUACAUUCUGCUUUUGGCAGAGUUUGUAAUGCCUCUCACGUCCUUAAAUAUAAAACUGUAAUUUCUCCUUUCCUACCUUUUGUCUCAUAGUCACAAUUUGCAGGGUUUUAGAUAAGAAACAUUUGUGGGGUCCUACCCUUGUUAACACAAACAUAAAAAAAUAACCGCACAAACAAACAUAGUUAGCCAUUCAUUUAACCAGACAUACAUAUUGACUUGAGAAAACAAGUAGCUGGUUGCACUCACCUAAACAUGCAGAAAUAGGGUGCUGCUGGGAGCCAAUAAGUACAAUAAAAAUGAAAAUCCAGCGCACUCCCAUAUUUACUAAACAGCAACUUUGGUGCUGACAGAUUUUGUUAGCCUAAUCUAGGCAAAAAAAUAAUGGGGGUUUAGUUACAUUGUAUGAUCAUACAUUGCAUAAGACAUUAGGCUUAUGCAAGGUAUGAUCAUAUAAUUUAACUAAAGCCCCAUUAUCUUUUGCCCAGAUUAGGUGUUUUUAAAAAAAAAAAAAAAAACCUAACAAAAUCUGUCAGUACCAAAGUUGCUGUUUAGAAGAUAAGGGAGUGCACUUGAUUUUCAUUUUUAUUAUACAUAUUGAGUUGUCUAUCCACAUACAUGUAAUUACUCAAAUGCACAUAUGUGCAUACAUAACCUACCCCUACCUAAUGCAAGACAUUCUCUUCAGACACACAAGGAUGUAUACACAAACAUUAUCUAACAUGCGUACAUAAACAUCCGUUAAACUGCAUACAUAGACAUUAUUUGUAUGUACACACAGAAACUAACAAUCAGACACAGACACAAACUAACACGCAUCCUUAGACACAUACAGAAAUUAACACACAUCAAUAGACCUACAAUAAAAUACAUUCACUGACAGUCACACUGCCAAAAAAAUACAUUAUCACACAAUUAUAAUCUAUCUCCUUCUCUUUCUGCUUACUUUCUGCCUGAGGGAGGGAUAGGAGAGGCUUCAAACUGCUGUCCCAGGUGUCCAUUGUAGGGGGAGCAGGAGAGUUGUGCACUGACCAGCAUAGCCUUUCUUCUUCUUUUAUUAUUUAUAUAGCACCAGCAAAUUCCGUAGCGCUGUACAAUUCUUGUUCCUCUUUUGUUAAUAGCACAGGUUACAAGGGCCGGUAUAUCACAUCAAAUCCCUUGCACCAACUUCCACUAACACUUCUACUAACAUAUGUAGUAGAUUUGAAAUAAUUUGCCUUGUCUGAAUCGAUUCGUCCAAAAAAACAAUUUCUUAUAGGCAAUUUGGGUCUCCUCCAUGUGGGAUUUUGUUUUGGAUUCAUUUUGUCCAUGUGAUUGUUUUGGGAAAACCGAUUUAAAUAAAACCAAUAUGUCACAAACAUGCACCUAUUAGUUUACUGCAAAAUACAGGGUUGGGUCAAAUUUCAUGGUAUUUCAUGGCAUUUGACACGUAAAAUUUUUGUUGCAGGUACAUAUUAUAACGGGGUCUUGGGAGAUUCAUCAUGGGUAAUUUCAUGAAGGAACAAUGAUCAAAAAUAAUGGAAUUUUUUUUUCAAAAUUGAGACAACUGUUCAGGAAGUGGUUAAUUGAAAGAAACUCCCAGAUUAUUGACAGAUUAACAUUCCCCGAUCUUUCAGCUCACAAUUGCUUCAUGUGGGGAUAUCUGUAGGUGUGUGUGUACAUGAACAAACUGCGUACACUUGAGAAACUCAGGGAAAUUAUCGAGGCAGAAAUUUAAGCGCUAGAGCCUCAAACAUCAACUAAUGUUAGGAAAAAUGCAAUCGAAGAGCAAAUUAAAAAGAUGUCCUCUUCUGUACCUAGUCAAACAACUCUCCAUACGUUAAGCAUUCAUUGUAUGUAAUAUCAUUGAACUUGGUUCAUUAAUAAAAAAGUUAUUGACUCCUCCAACCACAUUCUGAAUUUGUGCCACCCUGUAUAUACAGAAUAUAAAUUAUGUAUCAGUACACUGUGUGCGUUUUUGUGCCAUUUCGUUCAUAGAUCGAGUGAGAAUAAGAAAGAUAUAGAGGGGGGAAAAACAGGAGCAGUAAAAACAUUCCUUUAUUGAAAUAUUCUAUAUUUACUAAAUAUAUAAUCUAUAAAUAUACAUUUAUUUACUGUUGCUAUUUUUUCUCCUCUGUUGGUCGAUUCUCACUUGAUCUGUGAACAAAGUCAACAUUAAAGGACCACUAUAGGCACCCAGACCACUUCAGCUUAAUGAAGUGGUCUGGGUGCCAGGUCCAUCUAGGAUUAACCCUGCCUGCUGUAAACAAAGCAGUUUCAGAGAAACUAUGUUUAAAUAUGGGUUAAUCCAGCCUCUAGUGGCUGUCUCAUUGACAAAAAAAGUCACUUAUGGAAAAAAGAUGAUCAGUGGUUAGGACAGCCAGUAAAGGACCACUAUAGUGCCAGGAAAACAAACUCGUUUUCCUGGCACUAUAGAAUUAAUAGGUACCUCCCACCCUCAUGGACCCCCUCCCGCCGGGCUGAAGGGAGAGGAAGGGGUUAAAUCACUUACCUUUCUCCAGCGCCGGGCAUUCAGUCAAUGGUCAGCCAGUCCAUAGGAAAGCAUUCUCAAUGCUUUCCUAUAGGCGCUGGCGUCUUCUCACUGUGAAAAUCACAGUGAGAAGCGCUUUAGCUAAAGGCGCUUCUCACUGUGAUUUUCACAGUGAGAAGACGCCAUUGUCUAUAGGAAAGCAUUGAGAAUGCUUUCCUAUGGACUGGCUGACCAUUGACUGAAUGCCCGGCGCUGGAGAAAGGUAAGUGAUUUAACCCCUUCCUAUCCAUUCAGCCCGGCGGGAGGGGGUCCAUGAGGGUGGGAGGUACCUAUUAAUUCUAUAGUGCCAGGAAAACGAGUUUGUUUUCCUGGCACUAUAGUGGUCCUUUACUGGCUGUCCUAACCACUGAUCAUCUUUUUUCCAUAAGUGACCUUUUUUUGUGUGCCAACAAUGGAAAUCUGAAUCAUUAAACAAGCAAAACAGCUUGUUCAUUCCUUGUUUAAUUUGUUCCAUGAUUUGGUAUUAUGGUUAUUCAGAUUUAGGACACUUUUAAUGGAUAUCGAUUCAUUUGACGCCGAAUGCACACGUUGUAUAUGUGUUUAUGACUUUAGAGAACCAAUGACUGUGUUGGCUGUGAUUAACACACAAUUAACAACUCAAUGCAAGGUAUCCAGUAUGUCUUUGUGAAGGACACUCAAUCAUAACUCUCUACAUGAACUCCACUUGCCCCACCAAAAUGUGGCCUUGUUUUAAAUUAAAGUGUGCUUGACUCCUUUUAUUCUAGCAUGUGUACCUAAUUAUGCCUCUGUCUAUACCCCAUUCAGUGAGUCAUUGCUGAUGUUUGUAGGGAGCUCUGGAUAAGAGUUCUAUAUAUGAUCUCCUAAAUAAAAUAAGUAUUAUGUAAAUAUAUGAUAUACGUAGGAAAAAAAUCAACAAAUACAAAAUUAAAACGCGCACACACACAUAUAAGAAAAUAUAUAUAUAUAUAUUCUUCGACUAAAUACCAGAUACAUUUCUUCGAAGAUGCCUUACUAAUUCUUAUUUUUUUUCUCAGUUAUUAAAUGGUUACUGUGCGCACCUUGCCAACACAAGUGAUUUGAAGUGGUCAUGGUGCCUGGGGUCUCUAUGUUCAGCGUUUCACUCCACCUCUGGCUGCAUCAUUGGAGGGUCUUUAGCCAACCUGGAACAAGAGAUUUGGCUGGCUAAUGCUAAUUCUGUACAUAUUCCUAAGCACGGGAGUACAUUCAUUGUCUGAGAGUGGUUAUUUACACUUUCAACCAAUCAUUGCCCGGUGGGACGGACAUCUAGUUUCUGCAGCUUUGCAGAAUACGGUUUUCGUCACUAGUCACUGUAGGACAGUCAGCGCCCGGUGGUGAUCCAAGUAAGAGGGUUGUACUUAUCUAAACAUAGAGUUAUAGUACUAUACAAUAUAUAGUAUGCUAUUGAUUCCACGGCUGACAUAAUUGCUGAAUUUAACUUAAGAGCCUCCAUGUGUUUCCAAAGAAUUGCACAUACAGCUCUGCAAAAUUGUUACCAUUUUCAUAAUGUAUAGAUUGUGUGAAGUUGAAUGUUACAACGUAUCUGUUAUUAUCCAAAAAUUCUAUCACAAGCAUUCAUUAUUUGGGCUUCUUGGUGAAGCUGAGAUAUAUUUGCAGAUAAAAGAGUGGAAAAUGAAAGUGAUCUCAGAAAUGGUGAGGUAAUAAUUAUGGAGCAUUUUUAACCAAAAGCACAGAGGCCAUAAUAAGGCAUUAUAUAUGAAUACACAAUUGUUUAUUUGCCAAACGUUGAAUGACAGUGCACCUCACAACAGACAUAAAUUAAAGUUAAAAUAGUCACGCUGGGAAUAGUUUACAUCUUAGCAAAAAUGUAUCUUUUUACAAAUCUUCUAUAUCUUCUCAAAUUCUGCAAACCUUUAGUUAAGCAUUCCCUCACGUCUGGUAGACUUUGCUUUGGUGUAAUAACCCAGGACUACUUUCUAGCAAAGGUUAAAGACACUGUGGCAGUGAUGGCUGAUCAUGUUUAUCACCAGACUCACCCAAGGAAUUUGACCCCAACUUCUCUGUCUGGAAACCCCACCUCCCCAACUCAAUGGACAAUGGAAAUAUCAAACUGACUGUAAAAAAUCUGUAUUUAAUUUAUUUACCCAUCAAAUGCCAGAGAAAUGGCGAGCACGUUGCAAAGCAUAUCUGACAUGGAAGCAUUAUUAAACAUAUUGCAAAUUAUGUAUUCAUCAGUUUGCAGUAAACUACUUACUCUUUUGAGACACUCUAUUCCUG
rnacentral:lncRNA from 1 species